rnacentral:tRNA from 3 species
CCUGGGGUAGCUCAGUGGUAGAGCGGCCGGCUCUGGACCGGCUGGACGCAGGUUCGAGCCCUGUCCCCAGGU